rnacentral:misc_RNA from 1 species
UCACGUCUUACGACGGCAGUUUCACUAGAGUUCCCAGCGUUACCUGAUGGCAACUAAUGGCAAGGGUUGCGCUCGUUGCGGGACUUAACCCAACAUCUCACGACACGAGCUGACGACAGCCAUGCAGCACCUGUGUUACGGUUCCCUUUCGGGCACACCUCCAUCUCUGGAGGCUUCCGUACAUGUCAAGGGUAGGUAAGGUUUUUCGCGUUGCAUCGAAUUAAUCCACAUAAUCCACCGCUUGUGCGGGUCCCCGUCAAUUCCUUUGAGUUUUAAUCUUGCGACCGUACUCCCCAGGCGGAGAGCUUAUUGAGUUAUCUGCGCCACUGAAAAGUAAACUUCCCAACGGCUAGCUCUCAUCGUUUACGGCGUGGACUAC